rnacentral:tRNA from 1 species
ACCAACUUAGUUUAAUUAAAACGUUAAUUUGUGAAAUUAACAACGGAGACUAAACCCCUUCAGUAGGUC